rnacentral:rRNA from 1 species
GACAGAGGAUGCAAGCGUUAUCCGGAAUGAUUGGGCGUAAAGCGUCUGUAGGUGGCUUUUUAAGUCCGCCGUCAAAUCCCAGGGCUCAACCCUGGACAGGCGGUGGAAACUACCAAGCGGAGUACGGUAGGGGCAGAGGGAAUUUCCGGGUGGAGCGGUGAAAUGCGUAGAGAGUCGGAAAAGAACACCAACGGCGAAAGCACUCUG